rnacentral:rRNA from 1 species
UACGUAGGGUGCGAGCGUUAAUCGGAAUUACUGGGCGUAAAGCGUGCGCAGGCGGCUUUUUAAGUCAGAUGUGAAAUCCCCGGGCUCAACCUGGGAACUGCGUUUGAAACUACAAGACUAGAAUAUGUCAGAGGGGGGUAGAAUUCCACGUGUAGCAGUGAAAUGCGUAGAGAUGUGGAGGAAUACCAAUGGCGAAGGCAGCCCCCUGGGAUAAUAUUGACGCUCAUGCACGAAAGCGUGGGGAGCAAACAGG